UUGUACUGUAGAACUAAAAUUCUAAUAAAUUUAAAAUAAAUGUUUUAGGUGCAUGUUUUUAGCUUACUGAGUAAUUUGCAAAUAAAAAUCUGUGUAUUAAAGUUAAAAACUCUCUCUUUCACCACUGUCAUCACACUCAGGAAAAAAAGAGAUCUGCUCCAGCUUCUGCCUCUACUUGGGACUUUACUCCCAGGAGCUGCUUCUACUCAAGAUUUAUACCAAAAACCUAUUGCUACUUCUAUUUGGGACUCUAUACCAAAUAGCUUAGCACAUGAACUUUAACAUUUCAGUCUCUUGCUUUAAGACUAAUGUGCUUCUCCAAUAAGCAACUUUACACUCUGGGAUGGCCCUGCUUGAGCAGGGAGGUAGGUGACCCAUGGUGGUCCCCUGCAGCCUGACCCAUCCUGUGAUUCUGUGAGCAAAGAGGAGAGGACAGAGCCAAGUGUACGAGGUGGGUUUGACCAGUGCUUGAACAGAGGCCUUUUCUGACCAGCCACUUAUUCCAGCUCUUCUUUCUGUCCCUAUCAUGUUUUCCAUUAAUUGUGUAGAACAUGAAUGUUAUGUUAAAAUGACAAAAGUGUCUGACAAAAAGCAGAAAUGAUCAUGUGCUUUGGAGAUGGUUUGGUUUUCCCCCCAGUCUUAGCAAAACAACUGACUGUGGCAGCACUUUGUGAAAAAUGACACAGGUGGGUCACCAAAGUGAUGGUGCCUCAGAAGGGGUCCCAUGACAUUUAUUUGGGAAAAGCACCCUUUCUGACAGUUGCUUCUUUGUCACUUUUACCAACCCUGUCCCUCAGCAAUACUGAUUUAACUGUUUGUAAAGCUAUAUUGCAAAAUGAGGCAAAGUCAUUGAAAUAGCCUCGAUUUAAAAAAUAAACCAGCCUUCACCCCCUCCAAAAAAACCAAACCCAAACGGAAAAAAAACCCAAACCAACCAAACAAAAAUCCUCAAAACAAACAGAACCCCAGAAACUCCCAGAGGGUAGGUGAAAGCCACUUCCAGACAACUUUUAUGAUCGUUAUUCCCAUGCAAUAUUGUGUGGCAUGCUGAAAAAUAUUUACGAAUAACAUCAAUUUAAUGUGAAAUUAAAUGCCAGAACGGAUGAUACAGUGGUUGCAUUAUUGAGUAGCAUACUGAAUUCAAUUAAAUCUUGUCUUGUUAAUAAAUCUUGCAUCACUGCUGACAGCUGCUGUGAAGAAUCCCGAGAUUGUUUUGUAAGGACAUUCAGCCUGUUCCAAGCAGUGCCUGAGGAGCUGGUGGACGGCUGCCCAGCACAGUAAAGUGAUUGCAUCUUGUGAGGUUGACUGCAGAUUGCUAUCACAGUAAUAAAAACCAAGUUAAAAAUUACAAAAACCUGGUACCUCUAAAAGCUUAUGAGCCAUAGAAACGACCUACUACUAAGUCCUUACUGCCUCUGAGUAAUUGUUUAUUAGGUUGCUGGUUAGAUUUUAAGUUGGAAGAAGUGGACAAAUUGCUGUUGGUCUUUAUCAUGAUCUCUCUUUUUCUGCUGUUCUGAUGCAGCAGCUGUUGCUGGGAAUCAAACCCCUGAUCCACAGAGAAGGAGAACUGUGUCAUAACACAUGCUGCAUUACCUGUGUACACAUUUCUUUCCCAAUGGAGCAUGGACAAAAAGGAGCAAGUUCUACACAGCUGGAGUCCACGAAGGCAUAUUCCUGUGCAGAAAGAACUGAGUUGGUUUGAAAUACAAAGGAAACCAGAAGAGAUGUGGUUCAGAGUUCCAGGAAAGUCUAUUUCCCUCUCCUCAGGAGGAGAAUGGGACUACCAGAGCUCCUCACUUGGCCUCCUUCCAGCCACCCCAUGGGCUGCAAUCCAGGCAGGGAACAACAAUCAACCUGCACCAGCAGAACUCUGAUUGCUGCCUUUCCUGAUCGUCCUCAUCACGCAGCACGACAUGGGCUCCACAUUCUGAUCCCAACCCAUCUGUGGCACAUGUGCAGAGAAGCUUCUGGAUGUACCUGGGAAUCAUUGUGGCAUGACGCUGAGUCGGGAGUUUUGCCACAGCAGCAAGUUUGGGUGCUACUGGCCUGGCACAGCCUCAGAUUCCUGAGGAAAAGAUAGGAAUUGCCUGUAACAGGUAAUGUAGGGAGAAGCAGGGUAGGCGCCAUGUGAGAAGUUUCUCUUCCUGUCAACACCAGCUUUUGCUUUUGUAUGAUUUUGUAUGUGAUGGUCCACAGCACAAUCUUUGAACAAAUUAACAGCAACUUAUUUUACAUUUGAAGGAAGUCUGGAUGGAAUAGGCUUCCAGCAGGUUACUGGGGAGACUUUCAUUCUGGCACAUAUGAGAAAUGGGGGGAAUAGAGGUAAUCAGCCAGCCUGUAUCCCAGACUGAUGCCUAAAGGUUCCAUUGUUUAUUUUUACAUAGCAGUAUUUUAAAAACAACUUCUCAGAUUAAUGUAUUGACAUGCUCUCAGUUGGCUCUUGUUCUUUUUGUCCUUUCUUGGCCAUCCUCCACAGCCUUGUAAUGGAAACCACUGCACAGUUCUCCUCUACUCAGCCCUUGAGUUUCUAACACAAAUGUAUCUCUUUCAGGGGGAAAUGUGCCCCACAGAUUGUUCAAGGCUUCCUCCUUGUCACUGUAAAGCUGAUGUAAAGCAUGUCCUGAUGUUUGUCUAAGCAGAGAGAGAAAUUUUGUCAUCCUCCACCACAGACACUUCAUUGCCACUUUACCUCUCUACAGUCCACAGUUAAGUCCUACCCAUAGAUAAUCUGACCUUUUAAUGGGAAGUGUUUUGUUUUAGAAAAAGACAGUGUUAGUGUUUCUCAUGCAGGUUUUUGCCCUCGCUUUAUUUCAAUUUAUCCUUCAAUAAUAAAACAACUGAAUGUAAUGUGGAAAAAUCAGUUUAUUUUCUGGAAUUAAGUGAACUUCAUCCAAACUCAAAAUCCUACAGUCACUUUUAGCAUUUUUAAGUACACACUGAAUAAAAUAUUUUGACAUCUAGACUGUCAGAUAAUCUGUCAGUAACAAUUACAUCAUUCAAUGAAAGAACUGUUAAUUUCCAGUGUAAUUUAUUGGGAAAACAAUGCAUUUACUGCAGUGAAAUACAUUACGGGAUGCUACAAAAGCUACGUAACAUUUUUUCAAGUGAAAUAGUUGGCUUCAGAAUGCGGAAUAUUCUCUUGUGACAAAACCACAGGAAAAUGUGUUUUUCUCUCAAAAAAGAGAUCCUGGUCAGCAAACAUCAAUAAAGAGAAUGUACCUUGGUACAAGUACCCAGAACAGAGUGGUCACAGACCUCCAGGAGGCUUUAGGAUCCUCAUGUGGAAGGAUCAAAUACAUGGGACAAAGAGGAGGAGUGCUCAGGGUCCUACUCUUUAAAGGACAGGCUUGUGAGGCACAAAGGUUCAUACACAAAAUGCUUUACUUGGAGUGAUCUUUAAAAGCUGGAGAAGUUCUCAGCACUGUGGUGCCAUGCCCAGAACAAGGCUCUGUCUCUGGGCAGAGGUGUUGGCUGGCACAAUGCAAUCAUGGCUCUGGAGAGUUCCACAGGGGUUGGGUUUACAUCCUCCAGUUCUGCUUCACUGACAUUUCUCAGUUGCCUUUGUUCAAAAGUUUUCUUGUUGCUGUAGGGAAAUGUCAGAGCAUUAUGUGUAAUGAUGGUGGUGAUCAUUUCCAGAGUGCCCAGAGGACUGAAUUCCAGGUUUUGUGUGGUGCUGUUGGAUGGUGUCUGUCU